UACGUAGGGGGCGAGCGUUGUCCGGAAUCAUUGGGCGUAAAGAGCGCGUAGGCGGCCCGACAAGUCCGCUGUGAAAGUCAGGGGCUCAACCCUUGGAUGCCGGUGGAUACUGUCGGGCUCGAGUCCGGAAGAGGCGAGUGGAAUUCCUGGUGUAGCGGUGAAAUGCGCAGAUAUCAGGAGGAACACCAAUGGCGAAGGCAGCUCGCUGGGACGUGACUGACGCUGAGACGCGAAAGCGUGGGGAGCAAACAGG
rnacentral:rRNA from 1 species